GGUUAAGCGACUAAGCGUACACGGUGGAUGCCUAGGCAGUCAGAGGCGAUGAAGGGCGUGCUAAUCUGCGAAAAGCGUCGGUAAGCUGAUAUGAAGCGUAAUAACCGACGAUACCCGAAUGGGGAAACCCAGUGCAAUUCGUUGCACUAUUGCAUGGUGAAUACAUAGCCAUGCAAGGCGAACCGGGGGAACUGAAACAUCUAAGUACCCCGAGGAAAAGAAAUCAACCGAGAUUCCCCCAGUAGCGGCGAGCGAACGGGGAAGAGCCCAGAGUCUGAAUCAGUUGGUGUGUUAGUGGAAGCGUCUGGAAAGUCGCACGGUACAGGGUGAUAGUCCCGUACACAAAAACACACUGGCUGUGAACUCGAUGAGUAGGGCGGGACACGUGACAUCCUGUCUGAAUAUGGGGGGACCAUCCUCCAAGGCUAAAUACUCCUGACUGACCGAUAGUGAACCAGUACCGUGAGGGAAAGGCGAAAAGAACCCCGGCGAGGGGAGUGAAAUAGAACCUGAAACCGUGUACGUACAAGCAGUGGGAGCACCUUCGUGGUGUGACUGCGUACCUUUUGUAUAAUGGGUCAGCGACUUAUAUUUUGUAGCAAGGUUAACCGAAUAGGGGAGCCGUAGGGAAACCGAGUCUUAACUGGGCGUCUAGUUGCAAGGUAUAGACCCGAAACCCGGUGAUCUAGCCAUGGGCAGGUUGAAGGUUGGGUAACACUAACUGGAGGACCGAACCGACUAAUGUUGAAAAAUUAGCGGAUGACUUGUGGCUGGGGGUGAAAGGCCAAUCAAACCGGGAGAUAGCUGGUUCUCCCCGAAAGCUAUUUAGGUAGCGCCUCGUGAACUCAUCUUCGGGGGUAGAGCACUGUUUCGGCUAGGGGUCCAUCCCGGAUUACCAAACCGAUGCAAACUCCGAAUACCGAAGAAUGUUAUCACGGGAGACACACGGCGGGUGCUAACGUCCGUCGUGAAGAGGGAAACAACCCAGACCGCCAGCUAAGGUCCCAAAGUCAUGGUUAAGUGGGAAACGAUGUGGGAAGGCAUAGACAGCCAGGAUGUUGGCUUAGAAGCAGCCAUCAUUUAAAGAAAGCGUAAUAGCUCACUGGUCGAGUCGGCCUGCGCGGAAGAUGUAACGGGGCUAAACCAUGCACCGAAGCUGCGGCAGCGACGCUUAGGCGUUGUUGGGUAGGGGAGCGUUCUGUAAGCCGUUGAAGGUGGCCUGUGAGGGCUGCUGGAGGUAUCAGAAGUGCGAAUGCUGACAUAAGUAACGAUAAUGCGGGUGAAAAACCCGCACGCCGGAAGACCAAGGGUUCCUGUCCAACGUUAAUCGGGGCAGGGUGAGUCGACCCCUAAGGCGAGGCUGAAAAGCGUAGUCGAUGGGAAACAGGUUAAUAUUCCUGUACUGGGUGUGACUGCGAAGGGGGGACGGAGAAGGCUAGGCUAGCCGGGCGACGGUUGUCCCGGUUUAAGCAUGUAGGCGGAGCGACUUGGUAAAUCCGGUUGCUUAUCAACGCUGAGGUGUGAUGACGAGCCACUACGGUGGUGAAGUAGUUGAUGCCAAGCUUCCAGGAAAAGCCUCUAAGCAUCAGGUGACAUUCAAUCGUACCCCAAACCGACACAGGUGGUCAGGUAGAGAAUACUCAGGCGCUUGAGAGAACUCGGGUGAAGGAACUAGGCAAAAUGGUGCCGUAACUUCGGGAGAAGGCACGCUGGCAUUAGGUAAAGAGACUUGCUCUCGGCGCCGAAGCCAGUCGCAGAUACCAGCUGGCUGCAACUGUUUAAUAAAAACACAGCACUGUGCAAACACGAAAGUGGACGUAUACGGUGUGACGCCUGCCCGGUGCUGGAAGGUUAAUUGAUGGGGUCAGCCGCAAGGCGAAGCUCUUGAUCGAAGCCCCAGUAAACGGCGGCCGUAACUAUAACGGUCCUAAGGUAGCGAAAUUCCUUGUCGGGUAAGUUCCGACCUGCACGAAUGGCGUAAUGAUGGCCAGGCUGUCUCCACCCGAGACUCAGUGAAAUUGAACUCGCUGUGAAGAUGCAGUGUACCCGCGGCAAGACGGAAAGACCCCGUGAACCUUUACUAUAGCUUGACACUGAAUAUUGAGCCUUGAUGUGUAGGAUAGGUGGGAGGCAUCGAAGCGUGGACGCCAGUCUGCGUGGAGCCAACCUUGAAAUACCACCCUUUAAUGUUUGAUGUUCUAACUCGGCCCCAUAAUCUGGGGUGAGGACAGUGUCUGGUGGGUAGUUUGACUGGGGCGGUCUCCUCCCAAAGAGUAACGGAGGAGCACAAAGGUUAGCUAAUCACGGUCGGACAUCGUGAGGUUAGUGCAAAGGCAUAAGCUAGCUUGACUGCGAGAGUGACGGCUCGAGCAGGUACGAAAGUAGGUCUUAGUGAUCCGGUGGUUCUGAAUGGAAGGGCCAUCGCUCAACGGAUAAAAGGUACUCCGGGGAUAACAGGCUGAUACCGCCCAAGAGUUCAUAUCGACGGCGGUGUUUGGCACCUCGAUGUCGGCUCAUCACAUCCUGGGGCUGAAGUAGGUCCCAAGGGUAUGGCUGUUCGCCAUUUAAAGUGGUACGCGAGCUGGGUUUAGAACGUCGUGAGACAGUUCGGUCCCUAUCUGCCGUGGGCGUUGGAAGAUUGAGAGGGGCUGCUCCUAGUACGAGAGGACCGGAGUGGACGCAUCACUGGUGUUCGGGUUGUCAUGCCAAUGGCAUUGCCCGGUAGCUAAAUGCGGAAAAGAUAAGCGCUGAAAGCAUCUAAGCGCGAAACUUGCCUCGAGAUGAGUCUUCCCUGGGGCUUUAAGCCCCCUGAAGGAACGUUAAAGACUAUGACGUUGAUAGGCUGGGUGUGUAAGUGCAGCGAUGCAUUGAGCUAACCAGUACUAAUGAUCCGUGAGGCUUAACCUU
rnacentral:rRNA from 1 species